rnacentral:rRNA from 1 species
GAUGAACGCUAGCUACAGGCUUAACACAUGCAAGUCGAGGGGCAGCAUUUCAGUUUGCUUGCAAACUGGAGAUGGCGACCGGCGCACGGGUGAGUAACACGUAUCCAACCUGCCGAUAACUCGGGGAUAGCCUUUCGAAAGAAAGAUUAAUACCCGAUGGCAUAAUUAGACCGCAUGGUCUUAUUAUUAAAGAAUUUCGGUUAUCGAUGGGGAUGCGUUCCAUUAGGCAGUUGGUGAGGUAACGGCUCACCAAACCUUCGAUGGAUAGGGGUUCUGAGAGGAAGGUCCCCCACAUUGGAACUGAGACACGGUCCAAACUCCUACGGGAGGCAGCAGUGAGGAAUAUUGGUCAAUGGGCGCAGGCCUGAACCAGCCAAGUAGCGUGAAGGAUGACUGCCCUAUGGGUUGUAAACUUCUUUUAUAUGGGAAUAAAGUUUUCCACGUGUGGAAUUUUGUAUGUACCAUAUGAAUAAGGAUCGGCUAACUCCGUGCCAGCAGCCGCGGUAAUACGGAGGAUCCGAGCGUUAUCCGGAUUUAUUGGGUUUAAAGGGAGCGUAGGUGGACAGUUAAGUCAGUUGUGGAAGUUUGCGGCUCAACCGUAAAAUUGCAGUUGAUACUGGCUGUCUUGAGUACAGUAGAGGUGGGCGGAAUUCGUGGUGUAGCGGUGAAAUGCUUAGAUAUCACGAAGAACUCCGAUUGCGAAGGCAGCUCACUGGACUGCAACUGACACUGAUGCUCGAAAGUGUGGGUAUCAAACAGGAUUAGAUACCCUGGUAGUCCACACAGUAAACGAUGAAUACUCGCUGUUUGCGAUAUACAGUAAGCGGCCAAGCGAAAGCAUUAAGUAUUCCACCUGGGGAGUACGCCGGCAACGGUGAAACUCAAAGGAAUUGACGGGGGCCCGCACAAGCGGAGGAACAUGUGGUUUAAUUCGAUGAUACGCGAGGAACCUUACCCGGGCUUAAAUUGCAUUUGAAUAUAUUGGAAACAGUAUAGCCGUAAGGCAAAUGUGAAGGUGCUGCAUGGUUGUCGUCAGCUCGUGCCGUGAGGUGUCGGCUUAAGUGCCAUAACGAGCGCAACCCUUAUCUUUAGUUACUAACAGGUCAUGCUGAGGACUCUAGAGAGACUGCCGUCGUAAGAUGUGAGGAAGGUGGGGAUGACGUCAAAUCAGCACGGCCCUUACGUCCGGGGCUACACACGUGUUACAAUGGGGGGUACAGAAGGCAGCUACCUGGUGACAGGAUGCUAAUCCCAAAAGCCUCUCUCAGUUCGGAUCGAAGUCUGCAACCCGACUUCGUGAAGCUGGAUUCGCUAGUAAUCGCGCAUCAGCCAUGGCGCGGUGAAUACGUUCCCGGGCCU